UCAAGAGGUCAAGAAUGUUCCUGUCUGCAUAAGCUAUCCAUCUGAAAAAGAAAAGCUGGCACUCUCAAAGGAGAUUGUGUUGUUGGUUUAUGGUCUCAUUUGGUCAAAAAGAGGGACAUGUACCGAGCAUUUUUCUUUUUUUUGAUGGGCCAUCACACAGUGGAUUUAUAAAAAUGAGAUUACAGAACAGCAGACGGUAGCUUCAACAGAGUUGAAGUGGGAGGACAUCAUCAAUAAAGAAUGCCAUUGGCCAAACCUUCAGUCAUCAAAGAAGAUGGAUACAGGGGGACAUCAAGUUUUCCAGACUUACCGAUGGGAAAGAAGAAAUGGGAAUGUGACAAUUAUUGAGAAACUCAGGGAAAAGCAUCUUUAGAGAAGAAAAUGGACAUCAGACAUUUAUUGAAGAAAGCUGACAGUCAAC